rnacentral:lncRNA from 12 species
UGCUACUGCACACUUCUGGGGAGGAGUUCUGGUAAAUACAAUUUUCUCUUUCGAAAUACAUUCCUUCAAGAUUGCUGCCUCAGGCGUCUGCCUUACUGACCCACUCCUUAAUCCACAUCUGAUGACAGAAAAUCAAAGCAGCUCACAGAAAUUAAGUUGAAGGAGGGAAAGAGAGAGAGAAAGAGCAGACAAAUGUUCUAAGGACAUAGACUGGAGGGAUGUAAUGAGGUAGCAUGACUGGGCUCAGGGAAGAAAAGCAGCAGCAAACAACUCACAAAGCAGUAAUGGAAUUGAUCUAUUUAAAUGGAAAUCGUGCGCUAUCUUUGAAGUGGAGUCCAGAGGAAACUGGUGGAAGACAAGGAGAUCUCACUCCACAGGAUUCAGCCUCAGCUGAGUCUACUAAUGGAACCAGCGGUUAAUGGCAUCAUCACUGACAGGGAUAGAUGGAAUAAAUGUACCAUUAGAACAACCGAAGAAAGAAAAGCUAAAGGGAAUUCAGUGACUUCCAUGCUGAGUGUUACUUUCGAAUCUGGAAGAGCACCUUGUGACACAGAUUCAAAUAAUAAUAGACUGUACACUCUGCAAAACAACCAGCUUUUAACAUUAUCCUUGUGAUUCUGCAUAUGUGGUGCUAAAUUGUUAUAAUGUUUAACUGAUCUAAUCUCUUAAGUGCAAUUCUGUUUUUUCUUCUUCUGGAUAUUCGUUUCCAAACUCCCCUGAAACGUGACACUUUCUCCUAGCACUUGAUCCUCGUAAUACCAGUUCUAUCAGUCUCAGAGGCAGCAAAAUUGGACAGCAGUUUACAAUUCUUAUAGUGACAUAUUGAGAAGAUUAAGCUUUCAAACCUCUAAUGCUUUUUUGGAUAGCUCUUUCCUUUUGGGAAACUUUAAAACUGAAAUUCAGAUCUCAGUAAAGUAGAAUUAAUUAUGACCCUUCAGUGAAAGGAGAUACUAUUGACAAAAGUUUGUUCAGUUAAUAUUAAUGGUAUCUGUGUAAUUUGAUUCUGAAUAAAAGAAGAUGAUUGGGUAGAUUUUAC